rnacentral:tRNA from 1 species
GGUUGUGGCUCAGUGGUAGAGUGCUUACCUAGCAUGCGUGAGACACUGGGUUCCAUCCCAGGCACCA